UUUUUCCACUUAAGUUACCAUUUUUUUCAAAUAAGUAUUGAUUGUUCUGUUAAGCUGUUUGGUCCUGGUGGUGUCUGAAGGUAGGGUAAAUCAGGAAGAGUUCCUUUAAAGUGCACGUGGAAUUGUCCUGAUGUAAAAUGAAUGCUUGCAGGUAGAGAUUCCCAGAUGAUUAAAUUACAUUGUUUUGGAAAAUUUAGAGCCUCUCAGGAAUUGUUAUACACAGGAAAAAGAAAAUUCCAUCGAUUCCUGGAGUAUUUAUUGUAUUUCGGGCUAAUCUGAAGCAUGAUGAUGGCUUACUUCACGCUUUCUCUGUUAGCAAAACUAUUAAGUUCUGGUUCUAAAAGGGUACUUCCCAGUGUCUGAGGCUUGAUGUUUGCUUUGUUUUGAUCCAUAAGGAUAUGGCACUUCUGCUCUAAUUUGCUCAGGAAGUAGAAACAUUGUCGGUUAUCUUAUAAAGCAGUUAUGAUUAAUUUAGCAUUUAUUGUUCUAUACGUUAUAUGUUAUCAUGUGUAGCUGAGAAAACUAGAAAAAUCUCUUGAAAAUCCUGAUUGUGGCAGGUGUUAAACUUUCUUGCAACUCAGCUUUUCCUUGGGACAUGAAGAAUUUAUUAAGCCCUUCUUUCUAGUAGGCAGGGCAAUCAUUGAAAAGGUCAUCUUUUAAAACACUUUGAAGUACAUUCUGCAUUACAAAAAGCAUUUGACAUUUCAUUUUUCCUUGUUUUUCACGUGUAGCCAUGGCACAUAGCACCUGUGGUGCAUUUGCUGCCGUAACUCAGUAAUCAGAGUACGAGAUCACAACUUGCUAGAAUUUGAAGGAAAGAGUUUCUGCUUAAUUUUAGAUUACAUGUCAAAUCCUUUACAUCUACAUUUAAGUUUCAGUUAAAAUGAAGAAUAUCGCUGUAAUGUUUUAAACAUCUUUUAAUAAAUACCUUGAGGUAAUUCUUAAAGAACACACAGUCUGAAGAAAUAAAUAUGCAUACAGGAUUUUCAAGGUAGAACUCAUACGAGUGCUAAGUUGUAGCUUCCUAUGCUUUGAGCCCAUUACCUUUGUCAAAAUGUUUGUUACUAGCAUGUCACUAGGCUAAUGUUCUGCUGGUGAAAUGUGUUGGGUUUUUUUGUGUGUGUGGUUGUUGCUGGGGCAUGUAGGUGUGAUAUUUAUGAACAACUGUUGAUGAAGUCAGUAUAAUCAGCAAUCAGUACAUUCUCUGAGCUGUCUCGUGAAGAAUCCUGCUAGCUGUUUACAGCUCUGGAGCAGACAGUGCUCUUUGUUGGCAGGUUAGUAGGUAGAGAAAAGAGAUGCAUAACCUAUCUUUCCAUUUAAUUCGAACAGAGCUUCUCUUUGAAGUGGCUAAAGAAGUUGCAUAGCCUUGCUACCAGGCUGAACUUAGAUAACCAAAGGACAUUAUUAAGAAGAGUGUAUUACGUUGGAGUCUGCAACUCGUGUGCCUUAGCUAAACUGUGUGGAAGAAAUACAGCAUGGUUUUAAUGCCAACUUAGCACUUGAAUUCUGAUCAUUCACCAGGAGAAAAUAUGAUGUUCAGAGCAGCAAGUCAGAGAAGAGUCUUUGAAAAAGCUGAAUUCCCCUUUCAGAAGUAGGACUAAGUCUGAAAGAGCCUAUGUGCAGACUAAGAACUGACAGAAGUUGCUGGAUCCAGUUGCAUUUCCUUGGUCUUAUAAGCAAAAUGGGAAUUUGAUGAAGUGACAGUUUUCCUUUCAAGAUGCAUUACUGGAAGAGGAAUUAAGAACAGGGAGUCAGCACCAUGUGGCUGUUCUGCUGUCUUUGAAUGGUUAUGUGUUCCAUAGAUCAUUCUGGUAAAUGUCUUGGGAUCAUUCCACAAGGUCUUCAUAGAAGUUCAGUUCUGGUCACAAAGUUGUAUUUGAAUGCUACAAAUCAGUUUCAAGAAGACUGAAACAUCUCAGUAAAAUCUCCUUGGGACAGAUUUGGCAUAUGUCCUACCACAAUGGUAUUGUUUUACUCUCCUUGUUUGUAUGGGCACAGAAAAAAGAAAUGGAGAAUUAGGCACUUGGUUUUGGUACCAUCUGAUUGUUGUAUUCCUGUCUAGUUUUCUAUCUAGCUAGUAUAUCAGAUAUUGGACAUUAUGAUAUUAAACUCUGUGGUUUCUAUUUAAUUUCUAAAAUAAAAUUUCCAGGACAAUAUAUAUCCUUGCAAAGUGAAUGAAACAAAUUUGGUGUCUGCUUAUAGCCAAGUGCUUCUUCCAACUCUUCCCCCUCCACAGAGUAGCCUGAUUUGAGAUGGUGGCCAGAAGCUUAUUAGCAUUAAGGGACAUAGUAUUUUUGAUCCAGAGGAGGAGUGAGAAAUAUCGCUUUCUGCACAUCUGUCAAAGGGCAGAAAGAAUGAAAAAGGGAAGUAAAUGAUAGAAUGUGAAGAAUAAAAUAAAUAAAUAAUAAAAAACCCAACAAAAUAAUAAGACAAACAUAAACCCAACAAGUGCUACUGUAUAUCCUGGCUGUGAGGUGACAGUACCAAGUCUGUACCAAUCAAGUUGCUUUAAUCUUGGUAUGCAGUUACCUAGCCUUCUAUCAUGUCUGUCUUGUCCGUGGAUGAAAAUCCUGGUUGUUCUCUAUGUGAUUGAAAGGUUCAGUUGGCCUUUUGUGUUUCUAUUUUGUGUGACAGUAGAGCAAUGAACAGCUUUCUUGUUGUGCUGUGAAGAUGAGCGGCAGUAUGCUCAGAUGUGAGUAAUUGUUGUAGCCCAGGUGUUCACACAAACACCUACAAGGAAGCCAAGUUUGAUAACAAAAUAUAAAAGUGCAGUUUGGAGACCUGAAACUUUGCAGAAGAUAACUCUAGUGUUCCAGUUGAUGAGCUGAAUGCAUGAAAUCAGUGUGUCUCAGUAAAGGAUGCCAACUUAUGUAUGAGACUGUGAGAGCAAGGACAUGAAAAUCUGCUUAAAGGAAGUGAUUAUUCUCCUCUAUUUGGCAUGUGUGAGUUUCCCUGAAAUACUGUUCAGUUCUGGCUCCCUAGUACAAGAAACACAUUGAUAUACGAGAAUGGCUCCAGAGAAAAUAAUGUCAGGAUACUAGAAUGUGUUGUAUGCAAGGAGUGGCUGAAAGUUGGGUUUGUUUAGCCUGAGGAUAAAACCAUGGCAGGAUCUUGCUGCUGUCUGAAAUUAUCUGAUGCUUAGCUAUAGUAAGACAAAACUCAACUCUUCCAGUAGGUGAUAGGACAAGAAGCAUCAUACCCAUGAUAAAACAGGUUAAAUCCAAAUUAAUACAAAGUUUCAUAUUGAGGAUGGUUAGACAAAAGAGCUGAUUAUCCAGAGAAUUUGUGCAAUCUUCAUCUUUGAAGAUACUCAGAACUCAAGUGGAGAACCUCACCUGAUUGUAUCUGUUUUAAACCUUAUGUUCUCCAGAGUAGUUCCAGUGUGUAUUGCUCUUUGAAUCAAAUUUCGUGAUCUGCAAGCAGUGGUAUAAAAAGUAAUAAAAAGAAAAAGGGGAAGAUAAAGCACCUCCAGAAAGCCCAGUUGCUGUUACUGUUUUGCAACAGGUUAUCCUUAAGGGGUGUAUGACAUAGUUACCUGAUUGUGGAAGUUCAUUCAUUCUUCAGUUAAAUGUAGCCUUUAUUUAUCAGAUCAAGCUAAAAUGAAAAAGUGUUCAGAGUUGUCCCAGCCAACAGUUUCGUUUCUCUCCAGAUAUCUCUGAGACAUAAAAAUUACUUUUCAGUUUUCAUAUUUAUUCAGGGAGACUAUUUGUGUUAGAGAAUUCCCUCAGAUUUCUCAGCUUCCACUAGAAAAUAAAUGUGUUCAUUUGUUGUUGUGAUACUACCUUUGAGAUGGCUAAUAUAUUUUUUUAUUUAUGUACACAUUUUAUAUAUAUAUAUAUAUA